rnacentral:rRNA from 1 species
GACGAACGCUGGCGGCGUGCCUAACACAUGCAAGUCGAGCGGACAGUGUGGAAGUGUAGCGAUAUACGGAAGCGCUGUGAGCGGCGGACGGGUGAGUAACACGUGGGCAACCUGCCCCGCACCGGGGGAUAACACCGUGAAAACGGUGCUAAUACCGCAUACAGCAGCGGGGGCGCAUGCUCCGGCUGUAAAAGGAGCAAUCCGGUGCAGGAGGGGCCCGCGUCCGAUUAGAUAGUUGGUGAGGUAACGGCCCACCAAGUCGACGAUCGGUAGCCGGACUGAGAGGUUGACCGGCCACAUUGGGACUGAGACACGGCCCAGACUCCUACGGGAGGCAGCAGUGGGGAAUAUUGCGCAAUGGGGGAAACCCUGACGCAGCGACGCCGCGUGAAGGAGGAGGGCCUUCGGUUGGUAACUUACUUUGUACCGGGACGGAGAACGGACGGUACCGGGAACGAAGCCACGGCUAACUACGUGCA